rnacentral:lncRNA from 1 species
GUGCCCUUGGGGCUCCGUGUCCUGCUGUCUUUCCGUCCGCUGCCUAGUCUGCAUCUGAGUAACAUGGCGGCGGCGGCGGUAGCCAGGCUGUGGUGGCGCGGGAUCUUGGGGGCCUCGGCGCUGACCAGGGGGACUGGGCGACCCUCCGUUCUGUUGCUGCCGGUGAGGCGGGAGAGCGCCGGGGCCGACACGCGCCGUGAGUAUGUGCGGGCAGCGCUCUUCUCUGAACUAUCGGCGGGGCCCCUUAGAUGCCUGUCCUUGCCCUAGGAUGCCCUUCCCUACGUCCUCCUGGCAAAUCUUGGAGAUCUGACUUGCAGUGGUCUUCACCCUGCAUGCAGAAUCGAGCCCUCCCUGUGCCCUUAGGCCUGUUAUGGCCCUGAUUGUUCCUUGUCCAUUUCAAUCAUCCCCUUUUUGUCUGAUUAAACUGUCAGCUCUUUGAAAGCAAGCAAUAUAACCUUUAGGCCUCAGAGCCCUGUAAUAAUAGUACCUAGCGUUAAUUGAGUGCUUAAUGUGUGCCUGGAACCUCGCUAAGCGUUUUAGUGAAUGAUCUUAUUUCGU